rnacentral:rRNA from 1 species
GUGGGGAAUAUUGGACAAUGGGGGAAACCCUGAUCUAGCCAUGCCGCGUGAGCGAUGAAGGCCUUAGGGUUGUAAAGCUCUUUCAGAUGGGAAGAUAAUGACGGUACCAUCAGAAGAAGCCCCGGCUAACUCCGUGCCAGCAGCCGCGGUAAUACGGAGGGGGCUAGCGUUGUUCGGAAUUACUGGGCGUAAAGCGCACGUAGGCGGACCAGAAAGUCAGAGGUGAAAUCCCAGGGCUCAACCUUGGAACUGCCUUUGAAACUCCUGGUCUUGAGGUCGAGAGAGGUGAGUGGAAUUCCGAGUGUAGAGGUGAAAUUCGUAGAUAUUCGGAGGAACACCAGUGGCGAAGGCGGCUCACUGGCUCGAUACUGACGCUGAGGUGCGAAAGCGUGGGGAGCAAACAGGAUUAGAAACCCCUGUAGUCC